rnacentral:hammerhead_ribozyme from 1 species
UUACUGCUGAAGAGUCCAAAACCAGGACGAAGCAGCUGUCCAAUAC